rnacentral:rRNA from 1 species
UACAGAGGUCUCAAGCGUUGUUCGGAUUCAUUGGGCGUAAAGGGUGCGUAGGUGGCGCGGUAAGUCGGGUGUGAAAUUUCGGAGCUUAACUCCGAAACUGCAUUCGAUACUGCCGUGCUUGAGGACUGGAGAGGAGACUGGAAUUUACGGUGUAGCAGUGAAAUGCGUAGAUAUCGUAAGGAAGACCAGUGGCGAAGGCGGGUCUCUGGACAGUUCCUGACACUGAGGCACGAAGGCCAGGGGGGCAAACGGG